GACGAACGCUGGCGGCGUGCUUAACACAUGCAAGUCGAACGGUGACCUCGGAGCUUGCUCCGGGCGAUCAGUGGCGAACGGGUGAGUAACACGUGGGCAACCUGCCCCUAGCACUGGGAUAACUCCGGGAAACCGGGGCUAAUACCGGAUACGACCUCUGAGGGCAUCCUCCGGAGGUGGAAAGAAUUUUGGCUAGGGAUGGGCCCGCGGCCUAUCAGCUUGUUGGUGGGGUAACGGCCCACCAAGGCGACGACGGGUAGCCGGCCUGAGAGGGCGACCGGCCACACUGGGACUGAGACACGGCCCAGACUCCUACGGGAGGCAGCAGUGGGGAAUAUUGCACAAUGGGCGAAAGCCUGAUGCAGCGACGCCGCGUGAGGGAUGACGGCCUUCGGGUUGUAAACCUCUUUCAGCAGGGACGAAGCGAAAGUGACGGUACCUGCAGAAGAAGCACCGGCCAACUACGUGCCAGCAGCCGCCGUAACAC
rnacentral:rRNA from 1 species